rnacentral:rRNA from 1 species
CUACGGGUGGCACCAGUGGGGAAUAUUGCACAAUGGGCGCAAGCCUGAUGCAGCCAUGCCGCGUGUAUGAAGAAGGCCUUCGGGUUGUAAAGUACUUUCAGCGGGGAGGAAGGGAGUAAAGUUAAUACCUUUGCUCAUUGACGUUACCCGCAGAAGAAGCACCGGCUAACUCCGUGCCAGCAGCCGCGGUAAUACGGAGGGUGCAAGCGUUAAUCGGAAUUACUGGGCGUAAAGCGCACGCAGGCGGUUUGUUAAGUCAGAUGUGAAAUCCCCGGGCUCAACCUGGGAACUGCAUCUGAUACUGGCAAGAGUGAGUCUCGUAGAGGGGGGUAGAAUUCCAGGUGUAGCGGUGAAAUGCGUAGAGAUCUGGAGGAAUACCGGUGGCGAAGGCGGCCCCCUGGACGAAGACUGACGCUCAGGUGCGAAAGCGUGGGGAGCAAACAGGAUUAGAUACCCUCGUAGUC